AUGUUUCGUGACCAAGGAUCCGGUAAUGACACAAUUGAGGAUGUUGAUGAAACGAGCAUGUCGUCUGCUAUACCUAGCGAUGUUGACCCAUUAGACUUUGUCUACACAAACAUCCCAGACACCACUCACGUAUUGAAACUGGACGCAAACUGCAAACACUGCAAAGCCAAAAAGUUUGUGUCUGAGACUGACGGGUUCUGCUGUCACAAUGGACAGAUCGAACUUAAACAACCUGAACCAGUCCCAGAGCUGAUGAGACUAUGGUCCAGCAUGGAUGCAGAUUCUAUACAUUUUUGGGAGAACAUACGAUUCUUCAAUGGGCAUUUCGCCUUCACAACCCUUGGCGUCAGCCUCCAUGAGAACUACACAAAUAUGAAGUCCGGGGUGUACACAUUCCGGGCACACGGCACCAUCUACCACAAUGUGCACUCGUUCGGACCUAGCGCCCGUCCAGAACAUCUGCAUUUAUACUUCUAUGAUGACGACCCAACCAUUACUCAUCGUAAGGCGGCCACCAAGCAGUUAGACCUGGAUGUUGUGAGGAAGUUAGUAGACAUACUGAAAGAAAACCCGUACUCACAGCAAUUUAGGAGUUUGGGUGCACACAAGGACAACCUCGAUGAUUAUAGGAUAGACCUAAACACCGAUAAGAGGCUUGACCAAAGAAGAUAUAAUAGACCGUUGUCAUCUGAGGUCGCUGCAAUUUGGGUUGAGGGCAGCGACCUAGCAAAAAGGUUUGACCGGAGGAUAACACUUUGUGGCAACAACGAAAGGCACAAUAUUCGUGUGACCUCCGGGGCAUAUGACCCGUUGUCUUAUCCCCUUUUUUAUCCAAGGGGCGAACUAGGUUGGCAUCCGAAGCUACCUAAACAUGGUGUUCCUUGGGAGGUUGUACUACAUCCCCAACUGGGCCAUGAUGAUGAUGAGGAUGCAUGUAUGUCGUAG
rnacentral:rRNA from 1 species